UUCUUCUGGGAAAGAUUCAUCGGUAUGGGAUGGGGUCGCGUCCUAUCAGCUUGAUGGCGGGGUAACGGCCCACCAUGGCUUCGACGGGUAGCCGGCCUGAGAGGGCGACCGGCCACAUUGGGACUGAGAUACGGCCCAGACUCCUACGGGAGGCAGCAGUGGGGAAUAUUGCACAAUGGGCGCAAGCCUGAUGCAGCGACGCCGCGUGCGGGAUGACGGCCUUCGGGUUGUAAACCGCUUUUGACUGGGAGCAAGCCCUUCGGGGUGAGUGUACCUUUCGAAUAAGCACCGGCUAACUACGUGCCAGCAGCCGCGGUAAUACGUAGGGUGCAAGCGUUAUCCGGAAUUAUUGGGCGUAAAGGGCUCGUAGGCGGUUCGUCGCGUCCGGUGUGAAAGUCCAUCGCUUAACGGUGGAUCCGCGCCGGGUACGGGCGGGCUUGAGUGCGGUAGGGGAGACUGGAAUUCCCGGUGUAACGGUGGAAUGUGUAGAUAUCGGAAAAGAACACCA
rnacentral:rRNA from 1 species